rnacentral:rRNA from 1 species
GCACAAUCGCUUGCCCUUUAAUUGGGGGCCUGUAUGANUGGACACACGAGGGUUCUACUGUCUCAUUUAAACCCAUAAAAAUUAUCCUUUAGGUGAAGAGACCUAAAUAAAAUAGCAAGACAAAAAGACCCUGCAGAGCUUUAUUCCAAAAUUAACACGGCACAAUACCAAUUAUAGCUAAAGUGAACUAAUUUAGAAUUUGGUUGGGGCGACAAAGGACCACCUAAAACGUCCUUUUACUUAAAAGACUCAUUUCGUCUCUAAACGACUCAUUAGACACCUUGUUUAAGAAGCAUCAGCUACCUCAGGGAUAACAGGCUAAUAUCCCCUCAAGAGCCCAAAUCGACAGGGGAGUUUGGCACCUCGAUGUUGGCUUAGGGAACCCAACCUGGUGCAGAAGCUAGGUUGGGUGGUUUGUUCAACCAAUAACCCCCU